rnacentral:rRNA from 2 species
ACGGAAGGCAGCAGUGGGGAAUAUUGCACAAUGGGCGAAAGCCUGAUGCAGCGACGCCGCGUGAGUGAAGAAGUAUCUCGGUAUGUAAAGCUCUAUCAGCAGGGAAGAAAAUGACGGUACCUGACUAAGAAGCCCCGGCUAACUACGUGCCAGCAGCCGCGGUAAUACGUAGGGGGCAAGCGUUAUCCGGAUUUACUGGGUGUAAAGGGAGCGUAGACGGUUUGGCAAGUCUGAAGUGAAAUGCGGGGGCUCAACUCCUGAACUGCUUUGGAAACUGUCGAACUAGAGUGCAGGAGAGGUAAGUGGAAUUCCUAGUGUAGCGGUGAAAUGCGUAGAUAUUAGGAGGAACACCAGUGGCGAAGGCGGCUUACUGGACUGUAACUGACGUUGAGGCUCGAAAGCGUGGGGAGCAAACGGGAUUAGAUACCCUGGUA